GUAGUGGAUCCCAGUCUGUCUGAUGACAAAUGAACUACAAUCAUCCUGCAAAAUAGUUUCCUCUUCUCAACCUGCCCGUUUCUACCAGAGGCACCACCAAGGCCCCGGGCCUGAGACCCUGCCAUUUCUCCCGGCUUCUGUGUCUCAGGACAACGAGCAACUCCAAAAGAGCUGGCGGCUCGGGGAAGGGUGGCAGGCAGGCAGUCGGCACUGAGGAGCUACAAGGGCAGAGUUGAGUCGUUGCAACACAGAUGUAAAUGUAUGGCUCACGAAGUCCUCUGAGGGUUGGCUGCCAUUAUGAUGAUUACACAGACGAACAACAGCGGGUCCCAGGCCAUCCAGCCGAAAGAAAAUUUCCAAGUCAUCUGCCUUUGAAAUUAAAUAGAAAGUAUGAAAUGAACUCAGUACCUUGCUGUGUGACCUCAGGUUCCUGAUACCUCACCCACUCUCCGUAUCUUGGGAGAGGGAAAAAGUAGUCACUGACAUGUUAGUAUAAAAAUAUUUCCCUCAGGGGCCAGCCCCGUGGCCGAGCGGUUAAGUUCGCACGCUCCGCUUCGGUGGCCCAGGGUUUCGCCGGUUCGGAUCCUGGGCGCAGACAUGGCACCGCUCGUCAGGCCAUGCUGAAGCGGCGUCCCACAUGCCACAACUAGAAGGACCCACAACUAAAAAUA
rnacentral:lncRNA from 1 species